GAGACGAAAGGAGACAGAGGAGAGAGGACAGAGGAGAAGGGGGACAGAGACAAAGAGGAGGGUGGAGAUAGUCAAAAGGAGAAUGAAUCAAACGGCUUAAUACCUAUGAGAAGGACUAUUAAGCUAAAAAGCAAGAAGAAAGAAGGAAGGCCCUUAGACUUGGAACAGUUCAGGCCUGCUCUCCGAAGUAAACUUAAUUUUAAGUGUAAAUUAAAGGCUUUAUGCAUUGUAAUUUAGGGCAGUUAGAACUCAUUGAAGAGGGCAGGAGGGAGAGGAUGGGGAGUAGUGAGGAGAUGGGAGAAGAAACAGAGACAGGAGAAGAGACAGAGACAGGCGAGGAGACAGGGACAGGAGAAGAGACUGGGACAGGGACAGAGAGAGACAAA